UCUUUCUUUUCUUUCUUCUUCUCUUUCUUCUGUUCUUCUUUUCUCCUUCUGUUCCUCUCCUGCAGCGAUUCUGCAACGAUUUUGGGAAAUAAAACAGUGGUUUUGAGAUCGAGGAAGAAGAUACAGAUCGAGUAUUGGUUGUUGGUGAUGGUGUUGAAGUUUGUUUGAGCACGAGAUGAAGAGGUUAGAGUUGUUGCCGUAAAUUGAAGAUGUGAUUUCUGAAGUUAGGGUUUAUGUGGAAUUGAUAUGUGAUUCGUGAUUCUGUUAGAUGAAGAUUAAAGGGGUUGUUGUUUAAUUGAUGGUGUAAGGUUGUUUUGAUGAAGUUAGAUGAAGAAUCAUGAGUUAGGGUUUCUGGAAGAAAUCAGAAGAAGAAUUAGAUGAUGAAAUUGAUGCUCAAGAGGAUUGAUUGAAGAUGGGUUUGUCACAAAUCAAGAGUUAAGGUUGAAUUUGAAGCUGAGAAUGAUGUUUUUCACCAAAUCAGGUUGUGUAUGUGAUUGCUAUGGGAACAGAAUGAAGUUGUUGUUGAAGUUAAGGUUGUGUUGAGAGUUGGGUUACAGGAAUGAAUGCGUAUGGAUGGUGGUGAAAGUUGUGAUUCAGGUGGAACUGCAGAUUCAGUUUGUGGUGGUGGAGUUAUUGCUGAUCAGAAUGCUAGAGAACUGUUAGUGGAGGAAUUAUUACACUGAACUGGUGAUUAAGACAGUGAAGAGCUGAAGAUGGUGGAUAUGAAAUUGAGUUACAGUUGUUUCUUGUUGAACUGGUGGUGCUGAAAUGGUUAAGAUGGACAUGGUGAUGUUGAUGUGAGAAUUUAUGAAGUUAGGGUUUGAACCUCUGGUUUUAGUGUGUUGGUGUGAAGUAGUGACCUUGUAGAACAGUAAAUGGUGUGAUACAAUCUGGUGGAGGGAAAGAUGAGACCUGGAAUGGUGGUGAUGAUUGUGUUAGUUCUGAUAUGUGGAUUGCAGGUGGCUGCGGCUGAUGAUGGGUAUUGGUUGUAUGUAUGUCAAUGGAUGGGAAUGAAUCUUACUUUUGGACUGAGACUGUAAUAUUGCAUAUUUGGAGAUGAUGGUGAAGUUGCAGGGACUAGUGAUUGAAUGAAUGUGCGAUGGUACUAUUGUGGUUGGUGUUUAGGUUGUUGUAGUUGAUGUAAGAUGUUAAUAGAUUGUGCUGGUAUUGGAGUCUGUUGGAAGAGAAGAAAUGUUUUAGGUUUGAAAGGAUUGUAUGCUUAACCAAAGAUUGUAAACCUGGAGUUGCUGCCAUCAUGUAGAUUAUUGUUAUAGCAGAAUGUAGAAAGAAUGAGUAGCAGAUACUGCUUUUGCAGGUAGGCUAAGCUUGUAUUUGUAGUUAAAUUAUGUUUUUCAGUUGUAUUGUGUUUAUAUAAUUCUAUUAGAGUGAAUUAUUUGUGUAGUAAUCAAAUAGAUAGAAUCAGGUUGGUAGU